AAGAGUCUGGCCCAGGACUCAAACCAUGGUCAGCCAUGUGAGAGUAUCCAGCACCUUAAGCACUAUGCCAUCAGCUGGCCCCAAGGUUUUUGUUACUUUUUACCAAAUAAUCUUCGCCAACCCAGUUACGACCACAUCUGUGUAUCUUACUGGGUUUACCCAUUCCCAGCUUGGAGGCCGUGCUGAAUCUGUCUCUACCCAUUAGAGAAAGACCAAGAUUGGAGUUUCCAUCUGGACCGUCAUCCAGGUGCUUUCCCUAGGGGCCAUCCCCCCAGGAAGAGUUUGGGGUAAAGAAAGUCAGCCAGCAAAGCUGGGGUGGUGGGAAGCCUCUGGAAUCAGAGGGACCUGAGCCAAUGCUGGCACCACCACCCACUGCUGACUUCAGCCAGACCAUCCCCUCUCUGGGCCUGCCUGCUCCUUCUGUAAAGCAUGAUGGGACAGUCCCGCCUUGCUGACUGUGCUGAGAAGUCAAGGAAAUGAACAGUGUCCGGCACCGUGCCCUGUCAAGGCCUGGGUCUGGCUUCGUGGUCUCCACGGCAGUGCUGGUGGUGUCUGGCUUAUGACUGUCAUGCCCCACAUGUCCUCCACCCCCAUCCCAUAGAGCAUUUUCCCCUUCACUGCUGACCCCACUCAAGCCGCUGGUGAUGUAUCAUUAAAAUGUCAGAGUUGAAGGCUGCAACACAGAACGUUUCCAUUUCUUAUCCCAAAGAGACCUUGUUAGGAAAAUGUAGCUCGUUGCUUGAAAAAUAUCCUACAGUUUAGCCUGGACAGGGUUGCCCCAGAAAGGGAAAAACAGUCUCAAGCCAAACAUCUUCCCAGCCAGCAAGUAUGAUCUCGCUGACAGUGCUCAGCCUGCAGGCUAUAUAGCCUUUGCAGAAGCUGCGACAGCGGAGGUGACGACUCUGUUCUCAGGGGAACCAGCGCCACUCGGAGAACUUGCUGUAUUCUGCCUGUGGUGGGCAGAGCUCCAUGGCCAGGGUCCAUGUCCAGGUUCACCUCGUGUGUGCUGUGUAGCCUCGUUUCUUAUCUAAAAUGGGGUAAUAGGACCUGUCUCACAGUGGAGGUUAAAUGAGUUAAACACAUAGGGCCCUUGGACCAGAGCCUGGUGUCCACCAAGCUGGCUGCCAUCGUCACGAUCUCAUCAUCUUGCAAAGCUGGAGUGAAGAGGGAAUGAGACUGUGAGUGUGGCCCAUCAUUAAUGGCUACACUGUGCUCCAGGCAGAGGGUUCAGUGAGUGACCUUUUGUGCUCCAGGCAGAGGCGAGGGUGCUCAAGGCCCUAGGAGCCAGUCAACUGUCAGCAGAGGUUGCUGUCCCCUAGCCCUGCCCCUCAGCAUGGAGGCCUGCCUGCCUUCCAAGCUUCUCAGCUUGCCCCUCCUCCUGCUGGGUGGGUCCAGAAAAAGGAUAGAGGCCACCGGGUCCUACUCUGUGUUUACCUUGGUUUGUUUGGAGUUACCCAGAGGGAUCUAGCUGGGGUGGCUGAUGGGCAACAUGCUCCUUGGGGAGGUUUUAGGUCCAAGUUAUAAGCUUGGCACUUAAAAGGAAUUAAAAGGAACUCUGUGCCAGGAGCAUGGCAAAAGCUGCAGCCUUAUUUGGUCUGGAAACUGCCUUGCUUGGAGGAAAAGGGAAGUGGGUAAGCAGACCUCUCAUGGGGUGGGCAGAGAAAACGGCCAGUUCCUAAUUAUCCUGGGACGGGUUGUCCAGUGAGUGAAUUAUUUCGAUCUCGUCUCUCUCUCUGCUUUUGGCCGCUUGCCGUUUUCAACAAUGAAUCUCCCCUUCUCCACUGGAACCACCGCUCAACCGUCUCUCCCGUGCCCUCAACAGUGACGUUUGAGCAGUGACCCGAAGAAAAUGAGGAAUGGAACUCUGCACACAUCAGGGGAAAACAAUCUGGGCAGAGGGGACAGCAAGCGCAAAGGCCUGGAGGCACAAUAGACCGGAGAGAGAAACAGAGAUAGGUAGAACCAACAGAGCCUUCAUGCCACCCCCAGUCUCAGCUGGCCUGGAUGAUGGGCACAUGUGCAUGUAUCCUGUGUGCUCAGGGAAGACAUGAACCC